UUCUGGUUGAUCCCGCCGGACCUGACUGCUAUCGGAUUGAUACUAAGCCAUGCGAGUCUUUGUAGUAAUACAAGGCAGACGGCUCAGUAACACGUAGUCAACCUACCCUAUGGACGAGAAUAAUCUCGGGAAACUGAGCAUAAUUCUUGAUAGAUCAUAAUGCCUGGAAUGGUUUAUGGUUAAAAUGAUUCGUCGCCAUAGGAUGGGACUGCGGCCUAUCAGCUUGUUGGUGAGGUAAUGGCCCACCAAGGCGAUUACAGGUACGGGCUCUGAGAGGAGAAGCCCGGAGAUGGGUACUGAGACACGGACCCAGGCCCUAUGGGCGCAGCAGGCGAGAGAACUUUGCAAUGUGCGAAAGCACGACAAGGUUAAUCCGAGUGAUUUCUGCUAAAGAAAUCUUUUGCCAGUCGUAAAACCGCUGGUGAAUAAGGGGUGGGCAAGUUCUGGUGCCAGCAGCCGCGGUAAU
rnacentral:rRNA from 1 species